GCUUUCGUGGUGUAGUGAUAGCGGUCAGCACGCUCGAAUCGUAACCGGGAGUCCGUGGUUCGAUUCCCGGCGAAGGCG
rnacentral:tRNA from 1 species